rnacentral:misc_RNA from 1 species
GUGCGACCAGUGAAACCUGAAAUAAUUCUGAUGAUAUUAUUUUUGUUAUGCAUAAUUUCCCGCGCUUGAAUCUCCACAUCUAUUGCUUGCCCACUAGCGCCUCCAAGAGGCUGAUGAAUCAUGAUCCUUGCGUUUGGCAUUGCAAAGCGUUUGCCUUUUGUGCCACCACCAAGGAUUAUAGAAGCUGUUGAUGCUGAGAUGCCAAGGGCAAUUGUGGAAACAUCAGCUCUCACAAGUUGCAACACGUCAUAGAUUGCCAUUGUAGCACUGAGAGAGCCUCCAGGACAAUUGAUAAAGAGGCGGAUAUCUUUAGUUGGGUCUUGAGCAUCCAAAAGCAACAAUUGACUGAGAAUAGCAUCAGCCACGAAGUCAUCAAUAUUGUUCCCCAAGAACACAAUCCUCUCCCUCAGCAGAAGCCCCAUGGCAUCGGCCUCCGCUCCCCUCAUGGCGGUGCCUGGUGUCUGGGGAGCCGAGAAUUGGGGAGUUAGGGUUUUGGAAGAUUGAAGGGAGGUUUUGCGAGAUGGGAAAUUUUUUAUGGGAGAAGAGAUUGGAUUGAAAGUGAAAGGAAGAGGAUGGGAUUUAGAAGAACGGAGAGAGGGUCUAAGAGAGGAAGCUAAACGUGGGGUUGCUGGUGAAGAAAGCAAGAGCACGUCCAUGGCUUACACUCUUAGCAACUAUCUAUCAGUUUGCGAACAAGAGAAGAAGAGAAAUACAUGCAAUCUAGUUUCUGCUGGGGUAACACAGAAUCUAGGCCAGGGUUUGCAUUAGAGGAAUUACC